rnacentral:rRNA from 1 species
UACAGAGGGUGCGAGCGUUAAUCGGAAUUACUGGGCGUAAAGCGUGCGUAGACGGUUAUUUAAGUCAGGUGUGAAAGCCCCGGGCUCAACCUGGGAAUUGCAUUUGAGACUGAAUAGCUAGGGUGCGGAAGAGGGAAGCGGAAUUUCCGGUGUAGCGGUGAAAUGCGUAGAUAUCGGAAGGAACACCAGUGGCGAAAGCGGGUCUCUGGACAGUUCCUGACACUGAGGCACGAAGGCCAGGGGAGCAAACGGG